rnacentral:snRNA from 1 species
CGAGUCUAUUGCGCCAAAAACCA